GAUUGGUGCUGGUGACCAGGGCCACAUGUUUGGCUAUGCAACAGAUGAGACCCCUGAAUUAAUGCCUCUCAGUCACGUGCUUGCAACUAAACUUGGUGCCCGUCUUACAGAAGUCCGCAAGAAUGGCACCUGCGCCUGGUUGAGGCCUGAUGGCAAGACCCAAGUUACUGUUGAGUAUAGCAAUGACAAUGGUGCCAUGGUUCCAAUUAGGGUACACACUGUUCUUAUCUCCACCCAACACGAUGAGACCGUUACCAAUGAUGAGAUUGCCCGCGACCUUAAGGAGCAUGUCAUCAAACCAGUCAUCCCAGAGAAGUACCUUGAUGAGAAUACUAUUUUCCACCUUAACCCAUCUGGCCGAUUCGUUAUUGGUGGACCUCAUGGUGAUGCUGGUCUCACUGGUCGUAAAAUCAUCAUCGACACUUAUGGUGGUUGGGGUGCUCAUGGUGGUGGUGCUUUCUCGGGCAAAGACCCAACCAAGGUCGACAGGAGUGGUGCAUACAUUGUAAGGCAGGCUGCAAAGAGUAUCGUAGCUAGUGGACUUGCUCGUAGAUGCAUCGUGCAGGUAUCUUAUGCCAUCGGUGUGCCUGAGCCAUUGUCUGUAUUCGUUGACACCUAUGGCACUGGAAAGAUCCCUGACAGGGAAAUUUUGAAGAUCGUUAAGGAGAACUUUGACUUCAGACCUGGAAUGAUGUCCAUUAACUUGGAUUUGAAGAGGGGUGGCAAUAGAAGAUUCUUGAAAACUGCUGCCUAUGGUCACUUUGGACGUGAUGACCCCGAUUUCACAUGGGAAGUUGUCAAGCCCCUCAAGUGGGAAAAGCCCCAAGACUAAUAAGUGCUUGCCUAUGUUUUUGUUCUUUGUUGUUUGCUUGUGGCUUUAGAAUCUCCCCCGUGUUUGCUUGUUUGUCUUUGUAUUUUCUCUUUUGACCCUUUAUUUUGUUAUUGUCCUGUUUCCAUUGUGUUGGAUGGAUAUCUUAGGCCUUGGAAUAUUAAGGAAAGAAAAAGAAAUAUUAUUAUAUACUUGAAAAUUAGUGCAUUUGUGGAAUGAUUUUCUUUAUUGAAAAAAAGAUGCUAAAUGAUGAGUGCAAAUGUGCACUAGGAAAACAAGCAGCUGUGACGUUUUCUGUGUUAUCAUUCGUUGGCUGACAAUGAAAUUACUGUGUUG
rnacentral:misc_RNA from 1 species